UACGUAGGGGGCAAGCGUUGUCCGGAUUUAUUGGGCGUAAAGAGCGUGUAGGCGGCCAGACAAGUCUGCUGUGAAAACUCGAGGCUCAACCUCGAGCUGUCGGCGGAAACUGUCUGGCUAGAGUCCGGAAGAGGAGAGUGGAAUUCCUGGUGUAGCGGUGAAAUGCGCAGAUAUCAGGAAGAACACCUAUGGCGAAGGCAGCUCUCUGGGACGGUACUGACGCUGAGACGCGAAAGCGUGGGGAGCGAACAGG
rnacentral:rRNA from 1 species